ACUCCAGCAUGUUCGGUGCUUUUCCCAAACCUAUUUGAAAUAGAAUCCUGGCUGUAAUGGAUCUCUGAUGGAGCUAACUUCAUUAUAAGAAGCUGGCAAAGGUAUUAUGAAUACGGAAUGGACAAACCCCGCCUGUGCCUCAACACUACGCCAUUUUAUUUGCGUCAUUGAUGAAAUGUUUUAAAAUAUACGCUACAAAUUUGAUUCGUAGUGUUAUCACAAAGGCACUGGAAAAUGUAAAUAAUAUAUAAAUAGCUUCUUUAUUUAGACGAAAUAGCACAAUAUGACAAAAUGUUUCAAGUUUACAUUGUAGUUCCGUAUGAAACAUAUUUACACACAGAUGAUUAAAGCAAUAUGAGCUGCAAU
rnacentral:sRNA from 1 species